rnacentral:lncRNA from 1 species
GUCCCGUUCCCAAACUCUGAGGAGUCCUUUACAAAUUCAUAUAUGUAGUUUUGAGAAACAAAACAACAGGAGGGGAGAUUAGUGCCGAAGGUCGACUUUGCUUCUAGCCAACGAAAAGGAUCGUUUUACAGGUGUUAUAACAGGAUCCUUGUAAAGGUUGUACCCAGUGCACAAGGCUCCCGCUUUACGCAGGGUUUGGGAGAGGUGAAUGUCGGCUAGCCUUAUCCCCAUUUAUGGAGAGGUUGCUCCCAAGUCUCGAACCCGAGACCUACCGCUCAUGGGCGAAGGCACUUGCCAUUGCACUAAGUGCGAUAUAACAUGAUCCUUGUAAAACCUGAAAUUACAUCUUGAUACAUUCAACUUCACAGGUCACGGAACCCCUUUGAAACAUUGCAAAUUUCUUGCAUAACUCUUCUUUCGUCUGCAAACUUGUAUCAGUAAUCAUCUUGUCUAAAAC